rnacentral:misc_RNA from 1 species
UAUAAACAAUGUCUUGAAGACGUAUGUAAUCACAGCAUGAUCAGUGUUAUUUUAUCUGUUUACAUAUUUCAGAGGCAAUAAAUUUUGCUUUUGUUAAUAGAAUCAGGCCAAGAUGUCUCGUAGAACCCAGUCUGAUAUUUUGGCAAAUGAGGCAACAUUAAAAAGUAGAGUUAAAGAGCUUGAGUCUGAGGUGCUCAGUCUGAAACGUCGUCUCGAUGAAUUGAGGAAAGCAAAGAACACAACUGUGUUAAAACGUGAGAGAGAAGUGCUUCAAGUAGGAGUACCAUUUGGUAAAAGAGAUUCUUCAGAUGAACCAAAAGUUGAAAAUUUGAUGAAACAACUAGAUGACAAAGAUAAAUUAAGAGAAACAGAGAUUGAAAAACUACGCAAAAAGUUUACCAAGGAAAUGGAGGAUCUAUCCAAAAUUCAGUCAAAGGAAAAGGGAGCUUGCAACCAUGAGCCAAUAAUCAAAGAACUGAAUACGAGAGUUGGUGAAUUGGAAGCUGACAAAGCUGCAAUUAUGAUAGAGAACCAGGACCUCAAGGAAAAAGUGGACACUCUCCUGAUGCAACUAAGUGUAAAAGAGGCGCAGUGGUGUGAAACAGAGGAACAACUCAAUAUGAAGUUGAAGAAACAAUGGAGUGAGAAGUACCAAGAAUGGAUGGCAGAAACUGAGAGGAAGAUUGAAGCAUUACAACAGGCAAACACUAUGCUACAAGGUUUACUACGGAGGCAACGACCGCCAGGGGAUGACCAGCCUUUACCCCCAAGAUGAUGUCAGUCUCUUCCCCCAAUUUGAUGUCAGCUUCCAUGUUCCCCAUAUGUGAUGUCAGUCUCUAUCUCAAGUGACACCAGUACAGGACUAUUACAAAAUGUUACAUAAACGGUGAGAGCAACAACUGAGUUAUCUGCUUAUGCCUAUUACCCAAGGGACUAGAUGGACAAAGGCAAGCUUUAGAUGCUGUAAUAUAGGCAAAACUCAAACAAAAAUAAUUCAAGAAUAUUUUGCCUGUACAAAUAUAAGAUUUUCAGAGUUGCAUAAAUAUUUACUUGGAAUAUGUUAGUAGGGUAACAUAAAGAUAUUUUGUUGUGUUAUACCUAAAACGAUGUGUGUAUUUGAGAUAAAACUGGAGAAACCCGAUGACAAGGUAUGAAGUAAUUAUUCAUUAAAAAUCAUACUGUAUCUCUUGUGUUAGGUCUUUCAUUCAUCCAUAGUUUUUGGCUUCACUCAUGUGUAGA